UAUAGUCCUGCCCUCCUUGAGAAUGAGAGGGUCUAUGAAUCUGCGUCUAGGAGAGACCCUGCCUCUUGUCCAAAGUUAACAGAGACAACAGCCCCCUGUGAGCGGAAUACACAGCUCAUAUAAAAGCAGAGUCUGGGAGGAGUAUGAACUGGGAGGUGAACUGGUCCAACUGGUUGGACAUCAUUUCCUUGAUAUGAGUCAGACGGUUUGGUGUGGCUCACUUCAUCACAGCACGAAGACGACUAAGGUACUGUAGUGAUAGUUUGUUUCCUGUAAAACCACUUGGUUAAAAAAGUUAGUCAAUGUAUGGAUGCAUUGCUAUUUGUCAAAAUUACUAUUGAAUAAUUCAGAAGAUUCCUGCUCUGUAUAAUGCUACGUGUUAGACUGUGGGCUUUGGGGAUCAAACCCAGAACCUUUCAGCCUUGAGUCAAGCGUCAGGUUGAGGUUAAUAAUGACUGUUUCGUCUGAUUCAGUAUUGGUUCUUAAUCACAGGUCCUGUGGUGACUUUAAAGGUACUGAGGAUAGAAUGGACAGUGGUUAUAUUUGUAGUGGGGUAUUAUGAUUACAUUAUUUCAACAGGAAGACGGCCAUCUUGGUUAGUGAAGGUGUCUAAACGUCAUCUUGUACUGGGUCUUGUUCUCUGUGGGCCUGCAUCAUUCUGAAGUAGUGAAGGCCUACUCUAUAUCUGAGAGCAUCACUCGUAGGAGAGGGACAUCACCUUCGAGGUGAAUUAACACUGCCGCGACCGCCUCAACACAGAAGUCACUGGUGACGACUGGUUUGUGUUCUUCAGCUCAGCCCAUCCCACUGACAUCCUCUCACCAGCAGGUGGUGCUGCAGUGCACCUUUUCAAGGGAUUCAAAACGGACCUAGCAAUAUGAUCCACUUUACUACCGCUGGAGUUGAUUGAAUCACAGACUGCAGAAGAGUAGACCGUUUGUGACUUUUUUUCUUUUAUGUGUGUGUGUUUGUGUGAACCCUGAACCUUCCAGCCUGGAGUCAAGUGUCAGGAUGACGUUAAUAAUGACUUUUUCUUCUUGUGUCUCCUUGUGUCCUUGGGUGACUUUAAAGGUAGGUACUUAGGACAGAAUGAACUGUUGUUAUAUUUCUAGUGCAGUAUUAUGAUAACAUUAUUUAGACAGGAAGACGGCCAUCUUGCUUUGCGAAGGUGUUUAAACGUCUCUUACCGGGUCUUGUUCUCUGUGGGCCUGCCUCACCGAUCUGGUUGUGAUGUCAUAUCACACGAGGAAGUCCAUACAUGGUCCUGCCUCCAGAGCGGUUUAACCAGCACAGAGAGCAGUUGGUAUGAUAUCCGCACGGUGAACUGGAUCUAAUCAGACACAUUUUGUAGCCUUUUGAGACCUUCUGUUUUGAAUGAUGUUACGUUAUUAAAUGUAUAUUAGAAACCUCUGGGAAUGAGAGGGUCUACGAAUCUGCGUCUAGGAGAGACGCUGCCUCUUGUCCAAAGUUAACAGAGACAACAGCCCCCUGUGAGCGGAAUACACAGCUCAUAUAAAAGCAGAGUCUGGGAGGAGUAUGAACUGGGAGGGGAAGAGGUCCAACUGGUCAUUUAAAAAAACAGAGAGUGAACCAAUGCCGAGUGGCAGUAGAAACAAUAUGAGUUGUGUUUGUGUCCAGGUCUCCAGUCUACUAUGGAUGAGGAGAGAGGGGAGGGGGGUCCUACCUCUAAGACCACUCUGUCUGGGGAACAUGGCCGCCGGAGCAAAGCCAAAAGCCCAGAGAAACAGGAUAGAGCAGAUAGCGUCUCCAUGAAGAGUGACCACUCUAUGGAUGAUCCUGUUGGGUUUAAAGAUGGAAAUCAGUCCAUUGAAAAGAGAAGAGUCCAGCAGGAGAGAGCAGACUCCCCUGGACCCCAGCUGUGUCUCCAUGAAGAGUGACCGCUCUAUGGAACAACC